CUUCUACAUUUGUACUCCACAGUGGUCUUCUGGCUUGGCAUUCCUCCUCCUCUCCUUACAUGUACGCAACUAGAUGGGAUCAGUGCAAAACUACUGAAUUGACAGCUCAGGGAAUGCGUGUGCUGCCUGCUACCUGGCCUCCUCCUCUGCUCUACCAAUAAGAGCUUUUCCACUCUCCUGGAUAACCAUUGCAUGAGUCUGAACAUGGUCAGAUCAAGUGCUCAGUUGGUUCUUCCUCCCUGUGUCCCCCAAACCAUCCAGGAGCAGGGGCUUGAAAGAGUUACAACACUUACACUACUUCAACAGCUGUUUUAGGUGAGUUUUGACUGUGGACUUUUAAUUGCAUUCAUUUAUUCGUUCAUAUAGAAUAACCCAUCUUAG
rnacentral:lncRNA from 1 species